rnacentral:rRNA from 1 species
CCCUUAGAUGUUCUGGGCCGCACGCGCGCUACACUGAUGCAUUCAACGAGUGUACCUUGGCCGAGAGGCCUGGGCAAUCUUUUGAACGUGCAUCGUGAUAGGGAUAGAUUAUUGCAAUUAUUAAUCUUGAACGAGGAAUUCCUAGUAAACGCAGAUCAUCAAUCUGCAUUGAUUACGUCCCUGCCCUUUGUACACACCGCCCGUCGCACCUACCGUUUGGAUGGUCCGGUGAAGCCUCGGGAUUGUGGCGGUUGCCUUUAUUGGUGGCCGCCGCGAGAACUUGUCUAAACCUUAUCAUCUAGAGGAAGGUGAAGUCGUAACA